rnacentral:rRNA from 1 species
UACGAAGGGGGCUAGCGUUGUUCGGAAUUACUGGGCGUAAAGCGUGCGCAGGCGGCUUCUCAAGUCAGGGGUGAAAGCCCAGAGCUCAACUCUGGAAUUGCCUUUGAGACUGAGUGGCUUGAGUACGAGAGAGGUGAGUGGAAUUCCCAGUGUAGAGGUGAAAUUCGUAGAUAUUGGGAAGAACACCGGUGGCGAAGGCGGCUCACUGGCCCGGUACUGACGCUGAGGCGCGAAAGCGUGGGGAGCAAACAGG